CUCAUAGCGUAUAUUAAGUUGUUGCAGUUAAAACGCUCGUAGUCGGAUUUCGGGGCGGGCUGCUCGGUCUGCCGAUGGGUAUGCACUGGGUGGCGCGUCCUUCCUUCCGGAGACCGCGCCUUCUCUUAACUGAGCGGGCGCGGGAGACGGAACGUUUACUUUGAAAAAAUCAGAGUGUUUCAAGCAGGCAUCUCGCUCUUGCAUGGAUUAGCAUGGGAUAAUGAAAUAGGACUUUGGUGCUAUUUUGUUGGUUUCGAACACCGAAGUAAUGAUUAACAGGGACAGUCAGGGGCACUCGUAUUCCGUCGAGAGAGGUGAAAUUCUCAGACCAACGGAAGACGAACCACUGCGAAAGCAUUUGCCAGGGAUGUUUUCACUGAUCAAGAACGAAAGUUAGGGGAUCGAAGACGAUCAGAUACCGUCGUAGUCUUAACCAUAAACCAUGCCGACUAGGGAUUCGAGGGUGUUCCAUCUGUGACCCCUUGAGCACCUUUCGGGAAACUAAAGUCUUUGGGUUCCGGGGGGAGUAUGGUCGCAAGGCUGAAACUUAAAGGAAUUGACGGAAGGGCACCACCAGGAGUGGAGCCUGCGGCUUAAUUUGACUCAACACGGGGAAACUUACCAGGUCCAGACAUUGUGAGGAUUGACAGAUUGAGAGCUCUUUCUUGAUUCAAUGGGUGGUGGUGCAUGGCCGUUCUUAGUUGGUGGAGUGAU
rnacentral:rRNA from 1 species